rnacentral:lncRNA from 1 species
AGUCCUUCGCCGUCCCUCGCCGUCCUUCGCCAUCGCACGCCACCGCACCCCAUCUCUCGAAAUCUGCAGACAUCUUGAUUUUUCCCACGCUGUCUGUCAGGUCUCCGCCGCCACUCGACGCCAGGGCGCCGGGUGAGUCCACAGCAGGGCGCAUGGUCGGCUCCACUCUCACCAUCGGGGGAAACUGAGGCCCCGGGGAAGGCGGCCAGAGAGGUCAGGCCCUGUCCUUGGUGCAGUGUCUCGUCCUCUUUGCCGGAGUGAGCCCCCCAGGAUUCGCGUGUCCUCGGGAAAGACACUGGCAGGAGUGUCACAUGACUGCCGCCCCAUGUGUGUGAGAGGCGUCCUCUGGGAGAGCAUGGAUCCUGAGGUCCCAGGAUUGUCAGCUGACCUCUGUCCUGUGUGCCCAGUGGCCCCAGGUGACGUGUCUUCAAGAAGAGGCUGAGCUGCGGUGCUUGUAAGAGUCAUGUGCUGUUCCUGGGGCUUGGAUGAUGUAGGGGAAGCAAGGUGAAAGUGGUAUCCCGUGGUUCCACGUUCUGUCCUGCUGUGGGGCUGUCCCUCACAUGCUUUCAGUGGCUGUUGCAGAGGAAGAGCCUCCGGAAAUCUGCGUGGGUCUCAGCCUUAGAUCCAAGGACAGUCCAAGGAAGUCCUAAGACCAUGGAGUUGGUGAUCUGGGAUCUGGGUUUGCUGAUAUUUCUCACCGUGAAUCUCUUGGUGGUGUUUGUGGGCACGAGAGGGGCAGAGAAUGGAGAGUGAGGCUACCACAUGAAGCGUCACCAGAGCUGCUCCCUGCUGCCUGCUCAGAGCACCCCGGAUCCACUGUUCAAUCUGCACAAGAUUCGGGGUCCAGACAUGGGAGACUUCAGCUGCCUCAGAGGACCGUGGACAGGGAAGGCCAGCCUCGCAUCCCUCUGUCCAUGCCUGGAAUGACUUUAAUAACCAAGAGUUUUAUUUUUGAAUUUGUAGCUGUCGUUCACUUUUUACCCACCCAUUCAAUAAACCUUACAGAAUUGCUCCA